UUGAUAGGCCGGGUGUGUAAGCGCAGCGAUGCGUUGAGCUAACCGGUACUAAUGAACCGUGAGGCUUAACCUUACAACGCCGAAGGUGUUU
rnacentral:rRNA from 3 species